rnacentral:rRNA from 1 species
UACGUGGGGGGCAAGCGUUGUCCGGAUUUAUUGGGCGUAAAGAGCGCGUAGGCGGCCAGGUAGGUCCGUUGUGAAAACUCGAGGCUCAACCUCGAGACGCCGAUGGAAACCAUCUGGCUAGAGUCCGGAAGAGGAGAGUGGAAUUCCCGGUGUAGCGGUGAAAUGCGCAGAUAUCGGGAAGAACACCCGUGGCUAAGGCGGCUCUCUAGUACGGUACUGACGCUGAGACGCGAAAGCGUGGGGAGCGAACAGG